rnacentral:rRNA from 1 species
AGGACGAACGCUGGCGGCGUGCCUAACACAUGCAAGUCGAGCGGAGUUAACAAGAGGAAGUUUCGGAUGGAAUUUGUAAUUAGCGGCGGACGGGUGAGUAACGCGUGAGCGACCAACCUUGCACAGGGGGAUAACGGACCGAAAGGUUCACUAAUACCGCAUGAGACCACGGUGUUGCAUGACACAGAGGUCAAAGGAGCAAUCCGGUGCAAGACGGGCUCGCGUCCGAUUAGGUAGUUGGUGGGGUAAUGGCCCACCAAGCCUAUGAUCGGUAGCCGACCUGAGAGGGUGAUCGGCCACAUUGGAACUGAGAUACGGUCCAAACUCCUACGGGAGGCAGCAGUGGGGAAUAUUGGGCAAUGGGGGGAAAAACCCCCUGACCCAGCAACGCCGCGUGAAGGAAGAAGGUUUUCGGAUUGUAAACUUCUGUCCUUGGUGAAGAGAAGAAGACGGUAGCCAAGGAGGAAGCCCCGGCUAACUACGUGCCAGCAGCGGC